rnacentral:rRNA from 1 species
GAUGAACGCUGGCGGCGUGCCUAAUACAUGCAAGUCGAGCGAAUGGAUUAAGAGCUUGCUCUUAUGAAGUUAGCGGCGGACGGGUGAGUAACACGUGGGUAACCUGCCCAUAAGACUGGGAUAACUCCGGGAAACCGGGGCUAAUACCGGAUAACAUUCUGAACCGCAUGGUUCGAAAUUGAAAGGCGGCUUCGGCUGUCACUUACGGAUGUACCUGCGUAGCAUUAGCUAGUUGGUGAGGUAACGGCUCACCAAGGCAACGAUGCGUAGCCGACCUGAGAGGGUGAUCGGCCACACUGGGACUGAGACACGGCCCAGACUCCUACGGGAGGCAGCAGUAGGGAAUCUUCCGCAAUGGACGAAAGUCUGACGGAGCAACGCCGCGUGAGUGAUGAAGGCUUUCGGGUCGUAAAACUCUGUUGUUAGGGAAGAACAAGUGCUAGUUGAAUAAGCUGGCACCUUGACGGUACCUAACCAGAAAGCCACGGCUAACUACGUGCCAGCCGCCGCAGUAA